AGACAGAUUCGACAGGCACUGCAGACGACAUCAGCCUGUUGUAAAAAAUCAUGUCAUGUUGGAGACAGAGAAAGGUAUUUCCUAGAGAUGGGGAGGGUCUGCAGGGGGGAUGCUGACAACGUUGAAUGCAGGAAGUUGUCAGAGGAUGAUCCGGACUUGUCAACAGCCAUUGCAAUCACAGAUUUGGGUGCUGAGAGAAACUGUCUAAAUGGGCUUGAGGUGACAGGAGCCGACCCAGGGUCAAACGCAGACAAAGGCAAACAUCCACCUCGGUAAACAUCGUGGAGGUCUGAAGACACAGAGAAGAUGUCCCUGGAGGAGUCGGUAGGCCCAGGGAAGGACAACCUUUGCUAACCGAUUUGAAGUAAAUUCGUCAAUAGUCAUUGUUUACUUCGUAUA